AUGGAACGCUGGCGGCAGGCUUAACACAUGCAAGUCGAACGGUAACAUAAAGGAGCUUGCUUCUUUGAUGACGAGUGGCGGACGGGUGAGUAAUGCUUGGGAAUCUAGCUUAUGGAGGGGGAUAACUACGGGAAACUGUAGCUAAUACCGCGUAGAAUCGGGAGAUGAAAGUGUGGGACCUUCGGGCCACAUGCCAUAGGAUGAGCCCAAGUGGGAUUAGGUAGUUGGUGAGGUAAAGGCUCACCAAGCCGACGAUCUCUAGCUGGUCUGAGAGGAUGACCAGCCACACUGGGACUGAGACACGGCCCAGACUCCUACGGGAGGCAGCAGUGGGGAAUAUUGCGCAAUGGGGGCAACCCUGACGCAGCCAUGCCGCGUGAAUGAAGAAGGCCUUCGGGUUGUAAAGUUCUUUCGGUAGCGAGGAAGGCAUUUAGUUUAAUAGACUAGGUGAUUGACGUUAACUACAGAAGAAGCACCGGCUAACUCCGUG
rnacentral:rRNA from 1 species